rnacentral:rRNA from 1 species
AGGGUUCGAUUCUGGCUCAGGAUGAACGCUAGCUACAGGCUUAACACAUGCAAGUCGAGGGGCAGCGGGAAGUUAGCUUGCUAACUUGCCGGCGACCGGCGCACGGGUGAGUAACGCGUAUCCAACCUUCCCCUUAGUAGGGCAUAGCCCGUAGAAAUGCGGAUUAAUACCCUAUGUUAUUCGUCGAGGACAUCUGAAGUGAAUCAAAGGUUUACCGCUAAGGGAUGGGGAUGCGUCUGAUUAGGCAGCAGGCGGGGUAACGGCCCACCUGGCCGACGAUCAGUAGGGGUUCUGAGAGGAAGGUCCCCCACAUUGGAACUGAGACACGGUCCAAACUCCUACGGGAGGCAGCAGUGAGGAAUAUUGGUCAAUGGUCGAGAGACUGAACCAGCCAAGUAAGCGUGCAGGAUGACGGCCCUAUGGGUUGUAAACUGCUUUUAUGCGGGGAUAAAGUGACGUACGUGUACGUUUUUGUAGGUACCGCAUGAAUAAGGACCGGCUAAUUCCGUGCCAGCCGCGGC